rnacentral:rRNA from 1 species
UACAGAGGGUGCGAGCGUUGUUCGGAAUUAUUGGGCGUAAAGGGCGCGUAGGCGGCCUUGCGUGUCUUUCGUGAAAUCCCUCGGCUUAACUGAGGACGUGCGGAAGAAACUGCAGGGCUUGAGUCCGGGAGAGGGGGGUGGAAUUCCCAGUGUAGCGGUGAAAUGCGUAGAUAUUGGGAGGAACACCGGUGGCGAAGGCGGCCCCCUGGACCGGUACUGACGCUGAGGCGCGAAAGCGUGGGGAGCAAACGGG